CAGCUGCGAUAAGUAGUGUGAAUUGCAGAACCCAGCGAAUCAUCGAAUCUUUGAACGCAAAUGGCGCUCCUUGGUUCUCCAGGGAGCAUGUCUGUCUGAGCGUCAUGUCAAAUACUAACACACUCACGUCCUUGUGGCGUACGUGUGGCGUUGAGACUUCACGGCAGAAGCAUGGACGAUCAUCGUUCGCGCGGUGCCGCGUGUCUUCAAAUGGAGUCAGUACAGCUCGUGUGUCUCUCACCUUGUGUGUGUGUGUACGAUCGAGAGCAGCGACAAGCUAUCAGCAUUGAAGUCUGCCUCUCGGCUCGUACUACCCAUACUUUAACGGUGUCGAGCUUGCGAUGCUGUCACAGUGACGCGUGCGUGCUUUAUUGCCGCCGCACUGUUGUUUUGACCUCAGAUCAGGCAGGACUACCCGCUGAAUUUAA
rnacentral:rRNA from 1 species